rnacentral:tmRNA from 1 species
GUCCUUUUCAAGCGCGCUUCCGACCCCUAUAUUGGGGGUGCCGCUUCGCGCGGCUAUGGCAAUAAACGGCGUUGAAAUAAGCCAUUCGGACCCGGGGGCGGUACCCGGCGCCUCCACCAAGAUCCGGCGAAGCCGGGCCAAACCCGCUCAGGGCGCGGCCGGAUGUUGAUGGGGGCGAAACAGGAUCGACGAGGGUGUAAAGAACGACUUUUUGCUCGGCAUGAUACCACCGUUAUCGGGUCACAAGUGUAGUUGCAAACGACAACAACGCUCAGGGUUACGCUGUCGCUGCCUAAUGGCGGUGCCAGAAACCCAAAUUAAGUCCUUGCGGGUAGCACUGUAAGGCGGGGUUCGGAGGCACCUGGCAACAGAAGCCUCCACU